rnacentral:rRNA from 1 species
UACGUAGGUGGCAAGCGUUGUCCGGAAUUAUUGGGUGUAAAGCGCGCGCAGGCGGUCCUUUAAGUCUGAUGUGAAAGCCCAGGGCUCAACCUUGGAAUUGCAUUUGAGACUGCAUAGCUAGGGUGCGGAAGAGGGAAGCGGAAUUUCCGGUGUAGCGGUGAAAUGCGUAGAUAUCGGAAGGAACACCAGUGGCGAAAGCGGCUUCCUGGUCCAGCACCGACGUUCAGGCACGAAAGCGUGGGGAGCAAACAGG